rnacentral:rRNA from 1 species
UACGGGGGGGGCAAGCGUUGUUCGGAAUUACUGGGCGUAAAGGGCUCGUAGGUGGCCAACUAAGUCAGACGUGAAAUCCCUCGGCUUAACCGGGGAACUGCGUCUGAUACUGGAUGGCUUGAGUUCGGGAGAGGGAUGCGGAAUUCCAGGUGUAGCGGUGAAAUGCGUAGAUAUCUGGAGGAACACCGGUGGCGAAGGCGGCUCUCUGGACCGAGACUGACGCUGAGGCGCGAAAGCCAGGGGAGCAAACGGG